GGAUUGGUGGAGUUUCUGCAGUACCAGGACACAGGUUUGAUCCCUGGGCAAGCACAGUGGGUUAAAGGAUCUGGCGUUGCUGCAGCCUGGGUAGAGUUCCCUGUGCUAUAGAUUAGGACCUUGUUUGUGCAUUUUAAGUGUAAUAGUUUGCAUCUACUAAACCCAAACCUUUUCUACUUCUUACUACUGUAAGGGCUUGAUGUAGGUCUUCCUCCUGAUUCAUGGAAGACAGUUUUCCUCCAUGAAGAGAACUCAGGAUAUUUCCACCUUUUGAUUCUACCAUCUCUUGGGGCCUCUGAAUUUGCUAUCUCCAGAUCACAUGCUUAAAAGCUUCUGGAUGGAGAUGACAUAGUCUUUCUUGUUCAUCUUCCUUUGUUAGGAACUAGUUAUGUAGACAAACAGGAAAUGUAUCUCUGAUUGGGCAACUACCUCCCAGGAUCAACACCAUGAAGUGAAAUAGAGAGGGCACACUUUUGCUGGACAGUUAGCCAUCAAUGCCACAGAAGAUUAAAACUAUGACUACCCCAAAGAUAACACAAGUGAUGCUAUUUAAUAAUAAAGCAAUAACCAGGGCGAUGCAGGAUUUCACAGGGAAGUUUUUAAUAGCGUGACCCCAUGUAUGCAAAGGAUCAAGCUGUGUUCAGGACUGCCCACUCCUCUGAUUGGUUAUGCUUUGGUAUCCUGUCUACCUCGGUCCUCAUCUGAUCACCUAGGAGACUUAAGCUCAAAGCAGCAUUUACUAACAUCUUGUCUCCAAUUAAGCAUCCACUAACAGCUUCAAUGGAUUGCCUCCUGCUCUGAGGGAAAGACUUCCAGCAUCUGUUACAUCGGGGGAAGUCACAGCCUCACUCUUUCCUAGUCAGCAGCUGGUGCACUCUAGGUGAAUGGAGUUGAAAGACUCAUAGUUUCAGUAACUAUCCUGAAGAUCUGACAGCAUGUGAAAGAAAGAUCUAGUUAUGUUUUUAAAGAAUUUUUCAACUCUGAAGGAAUGGCUAAAUUAUGAAGCCCCCAUGGUUUAACUAUCAUAUUACAAAAGAUACAAUAUUGCAAGUGAAGAAACUUUCAAACAUGACCUACUAUUGAGAUUGGAACCUAUUUUUCAAAUCCUCUGUCUUUUGUCUUUUCUAAGGCCGCUCCAGAGGCAUAUGGAGGUUCCCAGGCUAGCGGUCUAAUUGGAGCUGUAGCCGCCGGCCUAUGCCACAGCCACAGUAACACUAGAUCUGAGCCCUGUGGUGUAGGUGGCAGACGCGGAUCGUAUCCCGUGUUGCCUUGGCUCUGGCGUAGGCCAGUGGCUACAGCGCCCAUUCGACCCCUAGCCUGGGAACCGCCAUAUGCUGCAGGAGCGGCCCAAGAAAAGGCAAAAAGACAAAAAAAAAAAAAAAAAGGAAUUGGAGGAGUUCCUGUCACAGUGCAGUGGGUUAAGAAUGUGACUGCAGUGGCUCAGGUCGCUGAAUAGGUGAGCAUUUGAUCCCUGGACUGACAUGGUGGGUUAAAGGAUCUGGCGUUGCCGCAGCUGUGGCUCAGAUUCAUUUCCUUGUCCGGGAACUUGCAUAUGCUAUGAGUGAAGCCAUUAAAAAUAAUAAGAAGAACUAAAAAAAAAUAGAAAUUGGAGAAGAGGAUGUGAGGAGCACAGAAGUUGCAAGCAUUACAUUCCAUUGGCCAGCAUUUAAACUCAUGGCUGCACAUAACUACUUCAAGGAGGAUGAGAAAUACUGUCUUACUAGGAAAGCUGCUUAUCCAGAUAAAUGUGGGGGUUUUAUACCAGAGGAAUAAGGGAGAAGGACUAUUUGGAAACAAACAACUGUCUCUACUGCCUUGAUUCCUACUCAUAGUUUUCUGACUUCUGCCUUUGCUGCUGCACAAAAUUGUCCAUUUUCCAUUCCAGUUUCCAAAGCCUGUGACCUCUUUUCAGUCAGUAGGGCAUUUUUCCUCUGAAAUGUUGUCCAAUUCUAUUGCUAUAAAUUUCCUGAAAUUCCCUAUUAGAGUUUAAAAAUGCCCUUCCCUUUGUUGUAUUCUUGUAAUUGUGAGAGGCAAAAUUUUAAAGCAAUGAAUGGGUUCAUUGUCUAAUAUCUCCUACAUGUUUUUUUUUUUUAAUUUGUUGAUGACUAGCAGCAUAAAGUAUCAACAAAGAUUUAAAUACUACAUCUUGAUUUUCAGUGAUUAUAUCAUAGAAUCAUGUAUACUAGAUCUUGUAUAUACCUUUUUCUUUCCAUAGAAUGUUAAUAUUGUAAAGCUAGGGUUUUAUCUGGUCUUCAAAUGCAGUCACAAAAUAACUAAAAAUCUUUCCUGGAGUUGAAUUAUCUGUCAUGUAUCUGUCAUUUGUGUUGAUAUUAACUAAAGCUAGUUGACCAUAAUAUUCUUUUAAGCACCAAUGUUUGACAAAAAAAAAAAAAAA
rnacentral:lncRNA from 1 species